UGUGGAGACGUCUAACCACUUGGUACAAGAAGCCGGGGAGGGAGCGUCCUUUUUUUGUCAACGUCGACCCUUGGAACUUACCCCUCUUUUGCUCGGAAAGACGCGCAUCCUUAGGAAUUGUUCAGAGGGAGAGAGAGGAUAGUAAUAGCAAAGAGGCAGAAACAGACCCAGAGAACCAUGUUCUUUUUUUUUGAGGUCUCACAGCUAGGAACACGAAAGACCUGCACGUUGGCUGUUUCCAGAGAAAUCAGGCGAUAUGUGUUGAGCCCUACUCUGGGGCUGACCCUGUGCCUGGCACCGUGCAGACAGCAGGAACCAGACGGUGGCAGCAUCCAUCCCCUGGAGCACCCGGUUGAGAUGGAGAACAGGGUCUUCCUAGGUGGCGCAGUGGUUAAGAAUCCGCCUGCCAAUGCAGGGGACCCAGGUUUGAUCCCUGCUCCAGAAAGAUCCCACAUGCCGCGGAGCAACUAAGCCUGAGUGCCACAACUAUUGAGCCUGUGAGCCACAACUACUGAGCCCAUGUGUUGCAACUACUGAAGCCCACGCACCUAGAGCCCAUGCUCUACAAGAGAAGCCACGGCAAUGAGGAGCCCGCGCACCACAACAAAGAGUAACCCCCACUCACUGCAACUAAAAUAAAGCCCGCACACAGCAAAAAAGACUCAACACAACCAAUAAAAUAAAUAAAUUUAUUAAAAAAAAAAACCUCUCUCUUCCAGGCAUAUUUUUCUUUUCUUUUCUUUCUUUUUCUUUUUUAAAUAAUUAGACUAUAAAAUAUAGCCUCACAUAUAAAGGCCAGGAAAUUAGAAUCAUUCUAGCAGGGGAGAGAGAGAAUAACUAAGUAAGGAAAAAUACAGUGUAACCUGCUGAACUUCCUGACCUUGAUCACUGUACUACAGUAUUGUAGGAGAACAUUUUUGUUCUUAAGAAAAUCACACUGGGCCUUCCCUGAUGGUGCAGUGGUUAAGAAUCUGCCUGCCAAUGCAGAGGACAUGGGUUCAAGCCCUGGUCUGGGAAGAUCCCACAUGCCACGGAGCAACUAAGCCUGUGCGCCACAACUGCCACAACAGCCACAACUACUGAGCCUGUGCUCUAGAGCCCUCCAGCCACAACUACUGAGCCCAUGUGCCACAACUACUAAGCCCGCACACCUAGAGCCUGUGCUCUGCAACAAGAGAAGCCACCACAAUGAGAAGCCUGUGCACCGCAAGGAAGAGUAUCCCCCGCUCACCGCAACUAGAGAAAGCCCGCUCGCAGCAACAAAGACCCAACACAGCCAGAAAUAAAUAAGUAAAUGUAUUAAAAAAAAAACCACACUGAAAUAUUAUGUCUUAUUUGGGCAUAAAGGAAUAUGGUAUGUGCAAGGAACUCACAAAUGGGAAUGACAGUUAAAUGGAGCAAAUGCUAACGACUGCAGAAUCUGGGCUAAGGGUAUUCGGGAGUUUUUGGUAGUAUUCUUGCAACUUUUCCGUAUGUUUGAAGUAACAUCAAAAUUUUAAAUGACCCUGAUUUGUUAAAAUGAAAAUUAAAAACAAACCAAAAACCACCCAAGCAGCUAACAACAGAGUAAUGUUAAUAGUAGACUGUGCUAGGAAAAAAAGUCGAUCCAUC